GCCUGGAUGGCGGAACUGGUAGACGCAAGGGACUUAAAAUCCCUUGGGGCUCUGCCCCGUGCGGGUUCGAGGCCCGCUCCAGGCACCA
rnacentral:tRNA from 1 species